rnacentral:lncRNA from 1 species
CCUACCUUAAACACAUUUUAUUUUCCUCACCACUAACUAACAAAAUAAACACAAGGAUACAAUUCACACCAGGGAGGGCCCACAGAUGGAUUCCAUGAAUAAAUACACAUGCCAUAUACAGGGAGAGGGGAUUAUCAUCAUCUUCAACAGAGAACAAUACUCACUAUCACACUCAACGAAAAACCUCUCAAAAAUUCAUCUCCAUCGUACUCACCUGCGAGACUCCACUAACAAAACACAAAAAGGGGUCACACACAAGAGCUCCCAUUUUUCUUUUCUUAUAGAGGCUUCACUCUCAAUUCACUGAAGAUACUAACACACACAUACACAUAUUAACAUACACACACACACCAAUUGGGAGGGAGAGAGUAGAUCAGUGAAAAAAAAUAGUGUGAAAGAUUGAUGGAGAAAAUGGAGAGAGGGAGAAAAAUUUAAGAAAAUAGAAGAGAGAGAGGUGAUUGAGAAGCCGAAAAACACCCUCUUCACCGGUGGACGUCUCCAUCCGCACUCCCUCCAGCUCCGACUAGAGCGAUGGACUGACGGCUAGUAGCGGCGACCCUAUCUCAGGUCCUGUUCUGGCCAAUUUCAAACAAAAAUCAGUUAUUUGUAUUGAUCUUGUCGUCCAUCUAGUGUCAGAUUGUUGUCUGUCGUCAAUCGCUUUUGAUUUGGGUCUAUUUUGCUCUUGGGUUUCGAGAUCGGUUUUAUCUUCGGGGGAUUUUAUUAUUGCUGUUCGAAGUUGUUGUUUCAGAAGUUCAUAAUUGAGUCUGUGUUCCCGAAUUAAAAUUUUAUUUGGAUUGGGAUUGACAAUAUUGGGUCGAAUUGGGUCUUUGUUGAGGUUCGACUCGAGGUUUUGGAUGCGGACUCUACCGGGUUUAAUCGAAAUAAUACAUCAAUUUUGAAAGCGACAUUGAGGUUCAAUUCUAUAGUCUUCCUUUUUAAUUUUUACGUGAAUGUGAAUGAUUUGUUGUUUGACAUGUUUGAAUCUUUGUUGUGUGUUGGUUGAUGUUGGUUUCGAAUUUUGAAAGGUGAUUAGAUAAUCGAAGAAUGCAUUAAUCAUUGGUUAGGAUAAAUUGGGGUGAGACUUAAAACGUUGAUAAAGGUGAAUAUUAAUUUUCUGUAAUUCUUCGAUAGUCGCUUGAUUCGGAAUAAGCAUUGACUUGUUAUAUUCGAUAGUCACAUAUUUUAGGUCGAUAAUUGUUAGGCAAAUGUUAGGGGGUAGGCAAAUAUAAGAAUUGUGAAAUCUUGAAUGCUUGACAUGUGUUGAAUGGCUUGAUUUUAUUGCAUCUCAUUCAAGUGUAUUCAUUUGGCCGGGGAAUGCCCCGAGAUUUUAUAUACUUAUUCACCAGGGAAUGCCCCGAGGCAUCUUGUACUUAGGGGACGUUCGCGAUGAAGGCCCGAUGCGUCGAGUAGAGCGUGGGAGCACAGUUUAGGAUUAGUAUAGGUUAGAAUAGAAUUUAUAUUUUUCGCAUUUUUUUACUUUGAAUAGUAUAAUUGGACUGAAUGUUCUAUUUUUGGGAUUUGUUUUGUUUUGUGUUUGUUUGUUUGAUUGUUGUGUGUUUAUAUGAUUUAUACAUCUUUAGUGUUUAAUUAGCCGAUACGCUCCACCAAGCGACCGUGGUUGAACCACGGGAUCGAGGGGUGCCUAACACCUUCCCCUCGGUCAACAGAAUUCCAUAACCGGAAUCUCUGUUCGCAAAUCAAUUUUAAAAGAGUCAAAACAGUUUUGAAAAAAGAUUCUCAAAGGUGACUUGGCACACCCAAUUAUGUCAAGUGGCAACUCUGAGUUCAAAAGUAAAUAAUUCUUUUCGAAAUAAAUUCUCAUCUUUUGUCACUUAAUAAUAAAACUCUUUCGAACUUUAAAAGGAAUCUUAUUUUGGUAAAAAAAAGGGUGUGACAGUUUUUAUUAAGGUUAAUUACUAAUGGACUUUAGGUUAAUACACUAGAAUUCAGAUAUAUUACAUAUAGAGUUUACAUUUUAUAAUAAUAUAAUAUGUAUUUCAAAUUUUAUAUAUCUAGGUGGAAAAACAUAAGUAUAUUAGGUAAUUCUUAAUGGGCUAACGAUUUAUCUGAUAAGGAAAUUAAGUAAUCCACCCCCACACUGAUAAGUCGUUAAUUAUAAAAUUUCAGUCCGUUCACCAAUCAUUUAUCCGAUAAACCAACACCAAUAAGCUGAUAAGCCAAUUUUGCGGUUGACUUAUUGGAUACGGUUCGAUUUUAAACAACCCUAAAUUUAAUCCUAUAAUUUUUCAACUUUUGAAACUUCGUUUCUCAAUGCAUCAUUAAUAUAUGCAAAAAAAAAAAAAAAAAUGUCAUUUAAAUUCACGUUAUUUAAUGAGGUUAAAUGGAGAAAGAAAUUAAGAAUACUAAAAAUGUCAUUUAAACUCAUGUUAUUUAAAUGGAACAUAGCAAACAUAGUCACACAGAUACAACAAUGCAUGCAAGACAAACAAGUGAAAAUAUCAGCAUAUAUACAUAGAAGGUAACCAGUUAGCUGAUCAUCUUGCUAAUUUAGCCAUAGAUACUGGAGCAUUUACUAUUACAAGCUUUCAUCAGCUAGACAAAGGAGGAAAAGCCAUCAUAAAUUAAUAGUGGUAAAUGGCAGAGUCCAUACUUGAGGAUUACACCUUCAAAAGGAUAAGGGAAUAGGAGAAGCUAAAGUUGAAUAGUUUACCUGCAACAUAUGUACAACCCACAGAAGUAUCAAAAAGAGUGCAUGUACUAACUAGCCUAAGCUAUUCCAGCCAACAAAAAGGACUCUCAGCAUAAUGGGAGGGUCUAUGAGUCGACUUGAGCUUGAUAAACCUGAGAAUGAGGCUGCUAACCGAAUUUUUGUGGGUCCAAGCAUCCCAAUAUCUUCUUCCCUACCAUAUUUGUGGAACACAAGCUAGAAAAGUUACAGUCAACAACAUCAGAUCCAAAAAAAGAAGAGGAAGAACGAAGAAGGUCAGCUCACUCGGAUAUAACAGCCUCUCUCAAAUGAUCAGAUCCCUCUUAGCUGCACAAAAAGCAUUUCAAUGUCCCAUCCACCGGAGAACACAACUAAAGAAGGAGAAGCAUCACUAUUCCAGUAAAGUAAAGGUGUUAAUAGCUAAACAAAGACAAGGAGAUGGUGCUUACUUCUGUAAGCUGAUAUCACAAGGAAGCCAUGACAAGGGAGGCACAACAUUGCGGAAGCUAGAGUUGGUGAAAGAGAUCUCCAUUUUGGAAGGAAGCGCAGAUGAGAAGAGGAUUAGGAAAGUUGUUUCAUUUUUAGAAACCCUACUGAGUUUAUAUGUUUUUUUCAAUUGGAUCUGGGUUGGGUCGGGUUAUUAGAAUAGUAGCAGGUUGUUAGUUUGGAUAAUGGAUUGGUCCAUUGUGUUUGGAUGAUUUAUUUAUAAGAGAUCAAAAUUAAACCAAAGAAAAAACAGAAAAGUAAUAUCUAACAAAUUAAUUUGUCAUACACCAACAAAUAGCAUAAAUAGAGGUAUAUACUAGCUUGCUUUUACAUGAAAAGGCAACCAAUUUUUACUUUUUUUUAAAAAGGCAAAAUAACUCGGUGGGCCUUUGUAUUAUGUCCGAUUUGUAAAGUGGAUACUCCCACUUAGCGCUUUGUCAUCUGAACCCCUCAAUUCAAUAAAACUCAACAUUUUAAACACUUUUUCAGUGAGUGUAACACACCCGUCCCACGUCAGCAGCCACAUCAUCUUCCACGUCAUUUUUAAGUAUAAAAAAUAUUAAAUAUUAAAAUAAAUAAAUAAAUAAAAUCCCACCACCACCACCCUCCUCUUGUUCCUCUCUUUUCCGUCCUCUUUUUUUUCUUUUCUGUUCUUCUUUCUGUAUUUCUUCUUCUUCUUUUUUCUUAUUAGAAAAUGCUGUGUUGGCUAUGAAUAUUUGGUCCUUCUUUUUUAAUUUUGAAUUUCGUGAAAAUAGCAUCGCUAUGAAGUUGUUUAGUUGGUUGUUUCCGAUAAGUUUCGCCGGUCUAAUUUUUGGGGUGGGGCUGAUCCGUGGUUGUUCCGGCAAAAUUCUCGUCGGAGAAAGUAGAAUGGAAUGAUUAUUUCCGUCCCCUCUCUUGCUCUUUGCCUCUCUCUCCCUCUCUUUUUCUCUCCCAAAUCUUUCUAACCCCUUCCAUCCAUCUCUUUGUUUUUUUAUUUACCCGAUCUUUUAGAUGUGUAUAUAUCUAUGUGUAUAGAGUGUGGUUGUGUGAAUUUCGGUGAAGUGUGUGUUUGUUUAGUGAUUAUGAAAUCGAAAAGUGAGUGUGUAUGAGAGUGUGAUGUGUGAAUUUUUAUCUGAGAGUCUGUGAAUCAUUGUUGUUUGUAUAUGAGAAAAAAUGGAGGUCAAAGGUGUGAGUUGCGAGUUGUGUGAGAGUCUGUGUUAUAUAUUGUGUUAAUAGCGUAAGAGAGUGUUUUUUUUUUGUAUGUGUGAUGACAGUAUGUAUAUAUAUAUUCUCCUCUUUGAAGUUGUGUAUUGUAUUGUGUACAUAAAAAAAUAGAGGAGAAGAAUCUGUAUUCCAGUGAGGUAAUCUGUUUUGGGGAAAAAAGAGAAAAAAAUGUGACUGGACCGGCGGUGAAUGGCGUGGGGGGAUGGGGAAGGUGAUGGACGGCGUGGGGGAUGGGGAAGGUGGUGGAUGCCGGGGGUCGGAGAGGGGUCUCUGAAAUGGAGGUAAUUGGGGAAGGGGUGCUAGAACGGAGGUUGGGGUAGGGGUGGAGGGAGAUUUUAGUUUUUCUUUUUUAAAAUUUUUAAAAUAUUAUAAAUAUUUAAUCACGCACUCAAAAAAUGCGUGUUUACACGCUUUUUGUCACAUCAUCGAGCUAAUGCCACAUAAGCAAAAAAGUGUUUAAAAUAUUGCUUUUUAAUAGAUUCAAGGGUCCAUAUAACAAACAUGUAAGUAGGAGUACUCACUUUACAAAUCAUACAUAGUACAAGGGUCCACCAAAUUAUUUUGCCAAAAAAAAUCAUAGUGAAGAUUAGCUUUGCUUCCUUAUUAGUUUUAUCAUUUUUGUUUGUACAACAAAUGAAUGCCACCAAAAGGAUGCAUGUUCAUAUAGUUGAUGGUAUUAAAAAAAACAAACCACAAUUAAUUUUUCUUAAUUUCGUUGUGCAUCUAGAGAUCAUGAUCUUGGAUGACAUUUUCCUACAUAUCAAGGAAGUGAUUUUUAAUUUCAUUCAAAUCGAAUCGUUUUGUUGAGAUGAUUUUCUUUUGUCAUUUUUUAUGGGGCAAAAAGAAGGUAGCAUUUGAAGUGUACAAAGAUACGGGAGCUUGUGGAAGUGAAUUUGUUACUGGAACAUGCUAUUGGUUGGUGAAGGAAGAUGGUUUCUAUCUCGCCAAUCAAACUUCUCCUCCUCCAUCUUUUUUGGUUAAAAA